rnacentral:lncRNA from 10 species
CUGUAUUUCAGCACUGCGGAAGUCUACGAAGCAGUUAAUGUUAAGAAAUACCAUUGACUAAAAAAAAAAAAAUGAUUUUCUGCAUUGGAUGUUAAAAGAUAUGAAGCAAGAAAUUGACCAUUCAGUGGAACAAUGUGAAUCCUAAAUUAUCUAAAUAAAAACAAGAGGAUCAGUUAAUUCAGAAAAAAGAAUUGUAUAAAUUCUGGAACUCGAAGGGACAUACCUAACAAAGAAUACAUCUUGCAGAUUGCUACAUAAAGAGUAAGUACAUUGACAAAUAUUAUGUACUUAAAAUAUAUACAGCUCUGUACUUAGCAUGCCACAUAGAAUUCCUUAAUAUUCCUCUUAACAGCUGUACAAGUUAACUUGACUUUUAUACGCAUUAUACACAUGAAAAAAAUGAGAUGAGAAAGGCCAAAUAAAAUGAAUGAAUGAAUGAAUGAGUUUUUAAAAUUUAUUUUGACAUGAGAGCCAAUCCUAUCAGCCUUGCUGAUUUCUUCAAAAUACUUGCAAAUAAGUUGCUAUAAUAUAAAAACAUCUUCUUAUUGUUUCUCUCUCCUUAAGGAUUUCUCUGAGACAUUUCUAAUAUUUAAAUCUUUUUUCCCAUAGGUUGUCUUUCACGGUACUUUGUAUACACUACUUUGGGUUCAUAUGCCUCAAGUGAAAAAUUGGUCUAAUAACAUUAAUACCUCUGUCACAACCCCAUUGCACAUGAUCAGUUCUAAUAAUGGGUUUUAAAGUAAUUUUGUUUUAUUUUAAAUUACUAUUCAGAUAUCAGUCACUAUGACAUCAGACUUUUUACUCUCUGUGAUAGUUAUAUAUCAACUUAGCUGGAGUAUAGUAUCAAGUUAUUCAAUAAAACACUAAUCUAGGUGUCACUGUGAAGGGAUUUUGUAGAUAUGAUUAACAUCUACAUUUAGUUGACACUAAGUAAAGGAGAUUUUCCUUGAUAAUGUGGUCAAGCCUCAUCCAAUCAAUUGAAAGGCCUGAGCUUUUCUAGAGGAAGAAGUAAUUUUAUCUCAGGACUCCAGCAUUAGCUACUGCUGGACAAUCCCAGCAUCCCAACCUGCCCAACAGAUUUUAGACUAGACUUACCACCUCAUAUGAGCACAUAGCAGAUUCCCAGAAAUCAAUCUAUCUACCUAUGUAUCUAUCAAUCUAUCAUCUCUCUCCUACUGCUUCUGUUUCUGUAGAUGACACUGACAGAUGUGAAUAUUCACAUAAAAGCUGUCAAUAUGCAUGUUCCUUCCUACUACUUGUACCAAUUAAGCAAAGAGUGUAACGGAUGCAUAUUUUUCUAAAGAAUUUCUGUAUGUGUUCUCCGAUUAUUGGUCAGAAAUAAAAAUAUGUUUAUAAUGCAAAAUUCAUAAAAUGUGUAUAAAUGAUAAUGUAUAUGCCUAUAUAAGUGUGUGUUUUUCUGUGUAUACAUAUAUGUAUAUAUGAGUGUGUGUGUAUGUGUGUGCAUUUUUUUGUAACUGAUACUGUGGCCUUUUAUAUCUACCAAAAUCCAGGACUAGUUUAGAAAAGAAAUUACAGCAGCAUUCUAAAAUUUACUUGUUUGAUAUAAAUAUAUUUUUGUAACUUUUUUUGCCUGACAUUUGUGCUGUAAAUCAAAAGUACUUUUGUGAAAGCAAUUUUUUUAAACAAUCUUCUCUGAAAUUGUGUAGGAGGAAGUGAAUCGCUACCACUCAAUCCUGACAUUAAUUCAACAGACACAUAUUUUGAUUUCUGAAGAAUUAUGGAAACAUUCUUUCAGAAGAGAACAAUGAAAGAUAGCAUUCUGUGUUUAGCACAUUUCCCCUUUCCAAGUGGCAGUGGAGCGUUGUAACAGCAAAGUAAAUUGCUUCUUAUUUCUAUGUGCUUUUUAAAACUGUGACACUGACUGAGCUGAACCACCAAGACCACAUCUGUACACAGCUAAAUAAAAGGUUUUACAUGAUGGCAAAACUGGGCAGAAUUAAUUUGUCCUUGGAUGUACUGAUGAUUGCAAUGCUUACACCACUGCUUUAUACACAGUAGGGUAACACUCAGAGUACUAUCAUGAAAUUCAGUUUUUAAUUUAAAAGAUUUUGAAAAAAGGACUCAUUACACAGGUAUGGCCAAGAUGAAGAGACACAGAAACGUCUGAUUGUAUACUGUAGCAUUAGUGACAGAUUGCCUGAGCAAGAAGUGAGAAAAAUAUUACUGAAGCCUCAGAGAGUUUGAAGCUUUAGAAAUAAAGCUGCCUAGCAAGAAUUGCAACCAUAGAAUAUAGUCAUUGCCCCAGAUUGAAGCAAGGCAAGGACAGGGGUUUGUUAGGAGUGAUGAAUACCUUGAUCUUUCUCUGUUCCAGCCAGCCCUCUAAUUUUCUGUGAUACUACUGGCCAAACCCAAUCAGAGGCUAAAAUUCAAGUGAUAUUGGGUGAUACGUGUGUAGGGCCAAAACUCCUUGAAAACAGAACAGGGAAGGGCUUGGAACAAUGGAGUUUCAAGGAGAGUAGCAAAUUAACAUAGUAGACAUACAAUCUAUAAGUUCGAGUUGAGGGCAGAAAUCAGUCUAGGCUGUUCAAUGGUAUGAAGUCAGGAACAAGGAUCAUACUUCUGAGCCAUAUGGAGGUAAGAUGCUAGAGGGAGAUGGUAAGUAAGCUACUAUUUUUUCCACUUAUGUAAGUAGAAA